rnacentral:rRNA from 1 species
AGUGAACGCUGGCGGUAGGCCUAACACAUGCAAGUCGAACGGCAGCACAGUAAGAGCUUGCUCUUACGGGUGGCGAGUGGCGGACGGGUGAGGAAUACAUCGGAAUCUACUUUUUCGUGGGGGAUAACGUAGGGAAACUUACGCUAAUACCGCAUACGACCUACGGGUGAAAGCAGGGGAUCUUCGGACCUUGCGCGAUUGAAUGAGCCGAUGUCGGAUUAGCUAGUUGGCGGGGUAAAGGCCCACCAAGGCGACGAUCCGUAGCUGGUCUGAGAGGAUGACAGGCAACCGUGAAAGUGGAAAACGGUCGGACCACCAAGGGAGGGCACAGGUGGGAAUUGUGGGCCAAGGGGCGAAACCCUGACCCAGCCUUCCCGCGGGGGUAAGAAGGGCCUUCGGUUGGAAAAGCCCUUUUGUGGGAAAGAAAAGCAGCAGGUUAAUACCCCGCUGUUCUGACGGUACCCAAAGAAUAAGCACCGGCUAACUUCGUG